rnacentral:rRNA from 1 species
AACGAACGCUGGCGGCGUGCCUAACACAUGCAAGUCGAGCGAGAAAGUUCCUUCGGGAACGAGUACAGCGGCGCACGGGUGAGUAACACGUAGGUAACCUACCCUCGAGCCCGGAAUAACCCGCCGAAAGGUGGGCUAAUGCCAGAUAGGACCACGGUGGUCACGGCCACCGCGGUGAAAGAUGGCCUCUGUUCACAAGCUAUUACUCGAGGAUGGGCCUGCGCGCCAUUAGCUAGUUGGUGAGGUAACGGCUCACCAAGGCGAUGAUGGCUAGCUGGUCUGAGAGGAUGGCCAGCCACACUGGGACUGACACACGGCCCGGACUCCUACGGGAGGCAGCAGUGGGGGAUAUUGCGCAAUGGGCGAAAGCCUGACGCAGCGACG